CGGGAGACAGGAGGAAUGUAGCGUACAUAGCGUACUUAUAUAAACUUUACUUGGAGGCGCCGAAUGUUUUAUUCGUAAACUACCGCAGUUUAGUACUGACUACUGGUAGUACUGCAGUAUUUCAUGUUUUUUAUACGUGUCGGGUGGGCAAUAAAUUUUAUCAGUUGCAUCAUGAGAUAAGGAUAGAGCCUAUAUCAUAUCAUAUUACAGUAAAACAUAUUGACAUAUCAUUGCCAUUGGGACCGGUGUAUCACUGUAUUUAUUUUAAUAGAGUAAAUCGAAAUCCACAACGACUAUAGUCGAAAUGUAAUCUUCGUGGUAAUAUGGCCAUACUAAAUAUCUCGCUAGUUGGGCAAUAUGAAAAAUUGCACAAACUUGAGGUGUUGGAAAAACACCAGACCCCCCCCCCCUGGGGAAAGACAUCAUGCAACCUGCCCCUGAUUGUCUGUACACCAUACCUGUCUCGAUUGAUUUUUUCCCUUGCCUUGCACUAAAAAUUAGCCCCAAAUACUUUUUCAUUGAUUUUAGAGCUUUACUAAAUGUAUAUGCUACACAAAUUUUACAAACCUUGAUGAAUCAAUUGGUAGAAAGCGUGCUGUCCAUUGGUGCCAGGCUCUCCCCACACAAUUGGCCCAGUUGAAUAAUCAACCAUGGUGCCACACGAAGUAACUGACUUCCCAUUAGACUCCAUGUCGCCCUGGUAUAGAAAUAUUAUAUAAACAUUAGUUGCAGUGCAUUACGAAACAAUCUUGAAUCAUCUUGUUUUAAGAUAAGCCAAUUAGAUAUUGCUCUCUUGAUAGAUAGA